UCCAACAAUGGCUAGCUGUGACUGGAAAGUCCAAGAAUCUAGUAGUUGCUCAGUCCUAUGAGGCUGGGUGUCUCAGCUGGUCUUCUGUAGAUGCUGGAAUCCUGAAGGAGUAGGCUCCAAUGCCAGAGAAGGAAUUGAUAUUCUGACAAGCAGGUGAAGAAUGAACAAAUGCUUCCUUCUUCCUUUGUCCUUAUACAGGAUUCCAGCAGAAAGUGUGGCCCAGAUUAAAGAUGUGCCUUCCUACAUCAAGAUCCGGAUUAAAAGUGUGUGUCAUCCCACCUCAAUAUCUGGAUCAAAAGCCUGUGUUGUCCAGUCUCAAGAUCCAGAUCAAAAGACUUGUUGUCUUCCUGCCUCAAGAUCUGGAUCACAAGUGUGCCCUCCAUUUCUGGAUUGCAGUUCAUGCCAGAUAUAGUCAAGUUGACAACCAAAAAACAGCCAUCAGAACCACCCAUUCUAAAAUUCAUUUUCAAGUGUCCUGGCCUCAAAUAUUGUGUGUGUUCAUAUAAAUGUUGAGACUGUAUAGGUAUGAUAAUAUAUCUGUACAUCCUGUUGUUACAUUGUCACUAUACAGUUAGAAAUUUCAAAACAGUAUGUCCUUUAAAACUAAUUCAGCCUGUGAGAUGGCUUAGCAAAUGAAGAAAGGCCUUUUCUCCCAAAGUGUGACUUCCUGAUGGAGAGAACACCUGCACUUUGUCCUCUGACUUCCACAUUGUCACUUGGCAGCCACAUAUUCUCAACACAAAAUAAUGUUUUAAAUGAGCCUACUCAUUAAACUGCAUCUGCCCUACACCUUCCCAGUUUAUUUUACACCAAUGGUUCCUAGGUCAAGGUCUCAACUAAUGAUGAGGCUUCUUAGAACUCCUCUCAAUGUCUUAAAAAAACCUUAAUGCAAAGUGUGUUUUCACUGAAAGCUUAGAUAAGCUAAUCUAUUCUAGCGACAAGUCUAUAAUUCUUUAUCCUAAUUCCUUGAGACCACGUGUUACCGAAAUCAGAUUGUUUUCAGACUCUAUGGAGAAAAUGUAAUGCUAAUACCGUUUAUUACAUAAUUCUCCACAGGGCCGUGGCAGUGCCUCGAACACAGUAAUAACUUUAUUGUACCAAUGACAGUCUUAGGUCCAUUUUGCUGCCAAAUAAUUUCCUGCAAACUUAUAUGAAAACUCAAGGUUUUCAGAACAUUUUUGAUUUUACAACUGUGAAUAAUGGAUUGUGAGCCUAUUGUUGAGAUGUACUGACAUGUUUAUUCUCUCAACAAUACAUGAAUAUAUAUAUAUAUAUAUAUAUAUAUAUAUAUAUAUAUAUAUAUAUAUAUAUAUAUAAUUUAUAGAUGACACCAAGCCACAAAGUAUAAUGUGUCCAUGGGCCCACAGCUAGUGGUAAAUACAGAUUUUGAGUGUAGUUAGGGUGUCUGUUGCUGUGAUAAAACAGCAUGACCAUAAACAACUUGGGGAGGAAAGGGUUUCUUUCAUCUUACAUCUUACACUCCAUCGUGACAGGAAGUCAGGACAGGAACUCAAGCAGGAAGCUGGAGGCAGGAACUGAAGCAGAGGUCAUGGAGGAAUGCAGCAUAUUGGCUUGCUCCCCAUAGCUUGCUCAGCCUGCUUUUAGCACCUAGGACCACCUGCCCAGGGGUGGCACCACUCAUAGUGAGUUGGGCCCUCCCCACUAAUUAAGAAAAUGUCCCACAGACUUGCCCAUAGGCUAAUCUGAUGGAGUCAUUUUCUCAAUUGAGGUUCCUUCCCUCUUCUCAAAUGACUCCAGCUCAUGCCAAGUUGACAUAAAACUAGCUUAUACACUAAAUUUAAAAUCCUUUGAAGAGGAGUUUCCAAAGUGUAGUAGCAUAAGUCUCACUAACUGGAUUUGAGACCUUGAAUGACUAAUUAGGGUACUGGAACUCAGUUUGCUCCUCUUGCUGGGAGACCCCUAAAAAGCUAAAUCAGGUGAACCUGCAGUCCACUUUUGGCUUGGCUUAAUGUCUUCCCCAUGAUGUCUGUAAGUGUUUGAAGGCUUCUAUUCUCAUUGUCACACACAUUAUGAUUAUUAAAAAUCAUCUCAGUAUCUCAGUUUUGAAAAGCAUAAUGUAGGCUCAUAUUUGAAACAGCGUUCUCUCACAAGAAGAUAUGUCUUUAGAUUGUUAAUGGUUCCCCUUCUCUUUGAAGGUCUUUUAGUUUCCAUCCCAUAAUUACAACUUCUGUACAUCACUUAAAUGUCGUCACCUCCUAUAUUAUACCAAGUCCCUAGUUGGCAUCUCCUCCCUACUUACUAACUCCCGGUCAGUGGCUUCUGAGCUUUCUUUACUGCUUAAGCUUCUUUGGCAUGCAGGUAUCUGUUGUUUGAAGUCUAAAAUGGUCUUAUAAUAAAAACCUGGAGCCAAAUAUUAGGGUAAAUGCUGAAAAAUCAGAGAGACAAAGGAACAAGCCACUAGAGAAACUUCUCACCAGUACUGAAUCCUCAGGUCGACUGGAAGGCGAGAUCCUGUCUCCAUGAAUCCUUUGACUGAAUGCCUCUGAGUCCUCAGCCAAAAAGGCACUAGUUCCUGUCUCCUCGCCCCUUAUAUGCCUUUCUCCAUCCAGCCAUUUCACUUCCUUCCUAGUGCUUGGAUUAAUGGCGUGUGUGCUUUCCAAAUACUGGUAGCAAAGGCAUGAGAUCUCAAGUGCUGGGAUUAAAGGUGUGUGCCACCACUGCCUGACUUCUAUGUUUAAUCUAGUGUCUGGCUCUGUCCUCUGAUCCUCAGGCAAGCUUUAUUUCAUGCACAAUAUAUCACCACAGGUAUCAUUUUCCCUAAAGACAAAAUUUCUCUUAGUUACUUUCUAUGUUUAUAUUCAGAUUUUAUUUCAGUAUCUAUUAAUAUAUUUAUUUGGUGAUCAGAGAGACAAUAGGGACUGGUUUAAAGACAUGUAAUAGUUCUCUUCAUGUUACACAGGAUUCAGGAAAUUGAUGUAAAUAAUACUUCAAUGAGAAGUAUAGCCCUUCAGUACAAAAAGUGUAUCAGACAGUAGUAGUUAAGGAAAGUACUGUAUAAAAAUCCUUUCCCCCAGAAAAAUGUAAAUUAAUCUUGACCAAAGAUAAAGCCCUGGUUGAUUAUAAUAAGUCCAUGCUUAACCAUUAAUGGCAUCUAAAAGGCUUGUUUCUAACAUAGAUUCAGAUAAUUAUUAGGCAAGAAGAGAUCUGUCACACAAGGUGCUACCUACAAGCUUUUAAGACAGUGUGGCACAUGGAAGGAAUAAAGUUCCUUCUUACUACAUUGAACCCUGUACUAUUGUAAUGUUCCAAGUUGCAAAUUCUAACCUGUGAAAAGGACAGCAGAAACAUUUGACAGUUCUUAUGCAAAGAAGUUGAAUGAAAAGCAGUCCCUUCUUAAAAAAAAAAAAAUAUUGAAGACAUCACCUGGUUCCUGGGAUAUAAAUCCAAAUUCAGAUGGACUACCAAUGUGACUUCUAUCUUCUCCCCUACCAUUUAAUUCUUUGUCAUACUUUGUCCCAGAUUUGAUAACACCUUAGCUACUUUGUAGUGGGUAGCCAGUUCAGCUUUGACCUGAAAAUAUCACCCCCAUUGAGGCUUCGAGAGAGGACCCCUGAAGACCUGAGAUCCAGAUGGGCUGGCCCUCUUGGUUCCUGGAUCCUGGACGCUGGUGGUAGACAGAGCAGAGUUCUCCAGAGAACACAGCUGGACUGCACUUCACCUUUCCCAGACCCUGUUACCUAUCCCUUCACUUGUAAGUUACCCCACAAAAUAAACCUCCCUUUUAACUAU